rnacentral:tRNA from 1 species
GGAGUGGCGGAAUCGGCAGACGCGCAGGCUUCAGGUGCCUGUUCUAUUCAGUUAGAGUGUGGGUUCAAGUCCCAUUGGGUCCACCA